UACUGGGCGUAAAGCGCACGCAGGCGGUUUGUUAAGUCAGAUGUGAAAUCCCCGAGCUUAACUUGGGAACUGCAUUUGAAACUGGCAAGCUAGAGUCUUGUAGAGGGGGGUAGAAUUCCAGGUGUAGCGGUGAAAUGCGUAGAGAUCUGGAGGAAUACCGGUGGCGAAGGCGGCCCCCUGGACAAAGACUGACGCUCAGG
rnacentral:rRNA from 1 species